CCUACGGGUGGCAGCAGUGGGGAAUAUUGCGCAAUGGGCGAAAGCCUGACGCAGCGACGCCGCGUGAGGGAUGAAGGUCUUCGGAUCGUAAACCUCUGUCAGCAGGGAAGAACGGUCACUGUGCUAAUCAGCAGUGAAUUGACGGUACCUGCAAAGGAAGCACCGGCUAACUCCGUGCCAGCAGCCGCGGUAAUACGGAGGGUGCGAGCGUUAAUCGGAAUUACUGGGCGUAAAGCGCUCGUAGGCGGUAUGUCAAGUCAAGGGUGAAAUCCCCGGGCUCAACGUGGGAACUGCCUUUGAAACUGGCAAACUGGAGUGUGUGAGAGGAUAGUGGAAUUCCAGGUGUAGGGGUGAAAUGCGUAGAUAUCUGGAGGAACAUCAGUGGCGAAGGCGACUAUCUGGCACAUAACUGACGCUGAGGAGCGAAAGCGUGGGUAGCAAACAGGAUUAGAUACCCGAGUAGUC
rnacentral:rRNA from 1 species